rnacentral:lncRNA from 1 species
AUUUGAAGAAGGAGCAAGUCUGAUUCAUUGUUGUUCAUUGGUGCGGGGACUGGGCGUUAGGUGCUGAAAAAAUUAUGUCAAAACAACUCAAUCUGUCAAUGCUGUAAUCAAUUCUUUCACUUCGACGAAAACCAAGACCUCUCUCUCGGACUCUUAGUCCCCUUGACCGUCGAGUAGCAGCACGGUAUCUGUUGGAGCGUCUAUGGUGGAUAGGAUUCAUUAAAGCUGGAAUUUUUUUGAAUCCAAUUGUCAGGCCUAUCAAUUACCCUGCAUUAUAUGAGGGAGAAGAUUUAUAGACAUGCGUUUUGCUCUAUGGACCUCUAG